ensembl:snRNA U6 U6 spliceosomal RNA
UGCUGGCUUUGGCAGCACACAUAUAAAAUUGGAACGAUACAGAGAAGAUUAGCAUGACCCCUGUGCUAGGAUGACACGCAAAUUCAUGAAGGAACGGAGAUAAAA